rnacentral:rRNA from 1 species
CCUACGGGAGGCAGCAGUGGGGGAUAUUGCACAAUGGGGGGAACCCUGAUGCAGCGACGCCGCGUGGGCGAUGGAGUGCUUCGGCAUGUAAAGCCCUAUCAGCAGGGAAGAAAAUGACGGUACCUGACUAAGAAGCCCCGGCUAAAUACGUGCCAGCCGCCGCGGUAAUACGUAUGGGGCAAGCGUUAUCCGGAUUUAUUGGGUUUAACGGGUGCGCAGGCGGAUUUUUAAGUCAGCGGUCAAAUCGUGGGGCUCAACCCCAUCCAGCCGUUGAAACUGGGGAUCUAGAGUGUGCGAGAGGUAUGCGGAAUGCGUGGUGUAGCGGUGAAAUGCAUAGAUAUCACGCAGAACCCCGAUUGCGAAGGCAGCAUACCGGUGCACAACUGACGCUCAGGCACGAAAGCGUGGGUAUCGAACAGGAUUAGAUACCCGGGUAGUC